UGACAAACUGCCCGGGAAGAUCUCUGAGA
rnacentral:piRNA from 1 species